rnacentral:rRNA from 1 species
AGUUUGAUCCUGGCUCAGAACGAACGCUGGCGGCAUGCCUAACACAUGCAAGUCGAACGAGACCUUCGGGUCUAGUGGCGCACGGGUGCGUAACGCUGGGAAUCUGCCCUUGGGUUCGGAAUAACAGCGAGAAAUUGCUGCUAAUACCGGAUGAUGACGUAAGUCCAAAGAUUUAUCGCCCAAGGAUGAGCCCGCGUAAGAUUAGCUAGUUGGUGGGGUAAAAGCCUACCAAGGCGACGAUCUUUAGCUGGUCUGAGGGGAUGAUCAGCCACACUGGGACUGAGACACGGCCCAGACUCCUACGGGAGGCAGCAGUGGGGAAUAUUGGACAAUGGGCGAAAGCCUGAUCCAGCAAUGCCGCGUGAGUGAUGAAGGCCCUAGGGUUGUAAAGCUCUUUACCAGGGAUGAUAAUGACAGUACCUGGAGAAUAAGCUCCGGCUAACUCCGUG